rnacentral:rRNA from 1 species
GUUGUAUGGUUAAGUGACUAAGCGUACACGGUGGAUGCCUUGGCAGUCAGAGGCGAUGAAAGACGUAUUAACUUGCGAUAAGCCCAG